rnacentral:rRNA from 1 species
UAGGGAAUAUUGCAAAAUGGGCGAAAGCCCGAUGCAGCAACGCCGCGUGGGCGAUGAAGGCCUUCGGGUCGUAAAGCCCUUUUUGAGGGGAUGAGGAAGGACAGUACCCUCAGAAUAAGCCUCGGCUAACUACGUGCCAGCAGCCGCGGUAAAACGUAGGAGGCGAGCGUUAUCCGGAUUUACUGGGCGUAAAGCGCGUGCAGGCGGAUUGGAGAGUUGGAUGUGAAAGCUCCCGGCUUAACUGGGAGAGGUCGUUCAAUACUUCCAGUCUUGAGUGCAGUAGAGGGUAGUGGAAUUCCUGGUGUAGUGGUGAAAUGCGUAGAUAUCCGGAGGAACACCAGUGGCGAAAGCGGCUUCCUGGACUGUAACUGACGCUCAGACGCGAAAGCUAGGGUAGCAAACG